rnacentral:rRNA from 1 species
AGAGUUUGAUCCUGGCUCAGAACGAACGCUGGCGGUAUGCUUAACACAUGCAAGUCGUACGCGAAAGCUCCUUCGGGGGUGAUUAGAGUGGCGCACGGGUGGGUAACGCGUAGAUAACCUACCCCUUAACCUGGGAUAACCUUCCGAAAGGAGGGCUAAUACCGGAUAAUACUUUUAAGCGAGUGCUUUUAAGUUAAAAGAUUUAUCAUUAAGGGAUGGGUCUGCGUACCAUUAGCUGGUUGGUGGGGUAAUGGCCUACCAAGGCAACGAUGGUUAGCGGGUUUGAGAGGAUGAUCCGCCACACUGGAACUGAGACACGGUCCAGACUCCUACGGGAGGCAGCAGUGGGGAAUUUUGCGCAAUGGGGGAAACCCUGACGCAGCAAUACCGCGUGAGUGAAGAAGGCCCUUGGGUCGUAAAGCUCUUUUAUUAGGGAAGAUAGUGACGGUACCUAAUGAAUAAGCACCGGCUAACUCCGUGCCAGCAGCCGCGGUAAUACGGAGGGUGCAAGCGUUGUUCGGAUUCACUGGGCGUAAAGGGUGCGUAGGCGGCAUUAUAAGUUAAGGGUGAAAUCCCGGGGCUCAACCCCGGAACUGCUCUUAAAACUGUAGAGCUAGAGAUAGUCAGAGGUGGGUAGAAUUCCUAGUUAGAGGUGAAAUUCGUAGAUAUUAGGAGGAAUACCGGCGGCGAAGGCGGCCCACUGGGGCUUAUCUGACGCUAAGGCACGAAAGCGUGGGGAGCAAACGGGAUUAGAUACCCCGGUAGUCCACGCCGUAAACGAUGAAUACCAGCUGUUUGAAAAAUCGACCUUUCAAGUAGCGCAGCUAACGCGAUGAGUAUUCCGCCUGGGAAGUACGGUCGCAAGACUAAAACUCAAAGGAAUUGACGGGGGCCCGCACAAGCGGUGGAGCAUGUGGUUUAAUUCGACGCAACGCGCAGAACCUUACCUGGGUUUGACAUCUCCGGACCGCCAUAGAGAUAUGGUUUUCCCUUCGGGGGCCGGAUGACAGGUGCUGCAUGGCUGUCGUCAGCUCGUGUCGUGAGAUGUUGGGUUAAGUCCCGCAACGAGCGCAACCCUUGCCCUUAGUUGCCAUCAGGUUAUGCUGGGAACUCUAAGGGGACUGCCGGUGUUAAGCCGGAGGAAGGUGGGGAUGACGUCAAGUCCUCAUGGCCUUUAUAUCCAGGGCUACACACGUGCUACAAUGGUGACUACAAUGAGCAGCCAGACCGCAAGGUUCAGCGAAUCUCAAAAAAGUCAUCUCAGUUCGGAUCGCAGUCUGCAACUCGACUGCGUGAAGUUGGAAUCGCUAGUAAUCGUAGAUCAGCGUGCUACGGUGAAUACGUUCCCGGGCCUUGUACACACCGCCCGUCACACCAUGGGAGUUGAUAUUGGCAGAAUACAUUGAGCUAACUCGUAAGAGGGGCAGGUGUAGAAGCUAGUGUCGAUGACUAGGGUGAAGUCGAAACAAGGUA